GUUUUCUUUGACAAAGUUGUACGUGAUGUGUGUCCUCCGUUUGCCCUCAUAAGCGUUGUGUAUUCUGACGUAAAUAUAAUCCUAUUUGUAAGCAGUUAUCUUAUGACCCAGUUGAAAGGAAGGAACUUUUGAUGAACGAGUGUCAAUGAAAAACUGAUAAAGAUGGGAGAUGGUUUGCAGCAAUUGUAUAUGGCAAAAUCCCUUAGUGAGCUUAACAAUCAGGUUAAAGAUAUCCCGAAGGCACCUCCAAAAUUGUUGGUUAAAACUGCCCAGCGAGUGUUGAAAGAAGCACAGUUAGUUGAUGGAAGGAAAGAUGAAGAAAAGUCUUACGUUCUAUAUAUGAGAUAUUUCUCAAUUGUUAUG